UCCCUGGAGGAUUAGGGGUUAGGCCACAGCAUUCUCACCAUUGCAGCCUGGGUUUGAUUCCCAGCCAGGGAA
rnacentral:tRNA from 1 species